ACCCUCUCAGGGUCACACCUGGAGAGUUUCCAGUACUCUUACCAGUCUUGACAAUAGGAGGGAGAGUCAAGCAGAGACCUAUCCACUCCAUUCCUAGCUUGGGCAGUGGCUAGCAACUAGAAGGCAAUCUGCUACAAGU